AUUGAACGCUGGCGGCAGGCCUAACACAUGCAAGUCGAGCGGCGCGGCGGACGGGUGAGUAAUGCCUAGGAAUCUGCCUGGUAGUGGGGGAUAACGUCCGGAAACGGGCGCUACUCCCGCCUACUAUCAGAUGAGCCUAGGUCGGAUUAGCUAGUUGGGGGGGUAAAGGCAUACCAAGGCGACGAUCCGUAACUGGUCUGAGAGGAUGAUCAGUCACAAGUGAACUGAGACACGGCCCAGACUCCUACGGGAGGCAGUGGUGGGGAAUAUUGCACAAUGGGCGGAAGUCUGAUGCAGCGACGCCGGGUGGGUGAUGACGGCCUUCGGGUUGUAAACUCCUUUCACCAUCGACGCGGUAGAUGGAGAAGAAGCACCGGCUAACUACGUGCCAGCAGCCGCGGUAAUAC
rnacentral:rRNA from 1 species